rnacentral:tRNA from 1 species
GGAGAGAUGGCUCGGCAAAUAAGAGCACUGGCUGCCUUUCCAAAGGUUCUGGGUUUGAUUCCCAGCAUCUCCA